AGAGUUUGAUCAUGGCUCAGAACGAACGCUGGCGGCGGGCCUAAUACAUGCAAGUCGAACGAGAAAAUCCGGCUUCGGCUGGGUGAGUAAAGUGGCGAACGGGUGAGUAACACGUGGGCAAUCUGCCCUUAAGUUUGGGAUAAGCCCUCGAAAGGGGGUCUAAUACCGGAUAAUAUCCGGAGAUGGCAUCUUUUCCGGAUCAAAGGCGGAGCAAUCUGCCGCUUAGGGGUGAGCCCGCGUCCCAUUAGCUUGUUGGUGAGGUAACGGCUCACCAAGGCUGUGAUGGGUAGCCGGCCUGAGAGGGUGAUCGGCCACACUGGGACUGAGAUACGGCCCAGACUCCUACGGGAGGCAGCAGUAGGGAAUAUUGCGCAAUGGACGAAAGUCUGACGCAGCCACGCCGCGUGGAUGAUGAAGCUUUUCGGAGUGUAAAAUCCUGUCAGUGGGGAAGAACCGGUCGGGGAGUAACUGCCCCGGCCCUGACGGUACCCGCAGAGGAAGUUCCGGCUAACUCCGUGCCAGCAGCCGCGGUAAUACGGGGGGAACAAGCGUUGUUCGGAUUCACUGGGCGUAAAGGGCGUGUAGGCGGAUUUGCAAGUCAGAUGUGAAAACCGGCGGCUCAACCACCGGCCUGCAUCUGAUACUGCUAAUCUUGAGUACGGUAGAGGAAAGUGGAAUUCCAGGUGUAGCGGUGACAUGCGUAGAUAUCUGGAAGAACACCGGUGGCGAAGGCGGCUUUCUGGACCGAUACUGACGCUGAGGCGCGAAAGCCAGGGGAGCAAACAGGAUUAGAUACCCUGGUAGUCCUGGCCGUAAACGAUGGGUACUAGGUGUUGGAGGUAUCGACCCCUUCAGUGCCGCAGCAAACGCAUUAAGUACCCCGCCUGGGGAGUACGAUCGCAAGGUUGAAACUCAAAUGAAUUGACGG
rnacentral:rRNA from 1 species